rnacentral:lncRNA from 1 species
GAAGAAUAGUGCAGAUGGAGAAAAGCAAGUGCUCCUGUACAUUUCAGAGAGAAGCUUCCUGAGGGAGAGAAGCUUGGAGUAUGUCUAAGAUUCAUCUAGAAUGGAGAAGGUAUUCCAGAUUAAUGGUUCCUGCUUCAGAUUCUGGAAGCUGUACUGCACUACUUUAAAUUCUGAAUGAUGAAAUAUUUGUGUUUCUCUCUUUUUUUUAAGAAGCUUAAAUUUGUAUAUAAAACAUAAAAAAAAAACAGUUUCCC